rnacentral:rRNA from 1 species
GACGAACGCUGGCGGCGUGCCUAAUACAUGCAAGUCGAACGAACCGCGACUAGGUGCUUGCACUUGGUCAAGGUGAGUGGCGAACGGGUGAGUAACACGUGGGUAACCUACCUCAUAGUGGGGGAUAACAGUCGGAAACGACUGCUAAUACCGCAUAGGACAUAGGAUCACAUGAUCCAGUGAUGAAAGGUGGCGCAAGCUAUCGCUAAGAGAUCGACCCGCGGUGCAUUAGCUAGUUGGUAGGGUAAAGGCCUACCAAGGCGAUGAUGCAUAGCCGACCUGAGAGGGUGAUCGGCCACAUUGGGACUGAGACACGGCCCAAACUCCUACGGGAGGCAGCAGUAGGGAAUAUUCCGCAAAGGACGCAAGUCUGACGGAGCAACGCCGCGUGAGUGAAGAAGGUCUUCGGAUCGUAAAGCUCUGUUGUUAGAGAAGAACAGCGCAUAGAGAAACUGUUAUGCGUGUGACGGUAUCUAAACAGAAAGCAACGGCUAACUACGUG